rnacentral:tRNA from 1 species
GGAUUGUAGCUCAGUGGUAGAGAGCUUGCCUAGCAUGUGUGAGGCCUUGGGUUUGAUCCUCAGCACCA